rnacentral:rRNA from 1 species
UACGUAGGUGGCUAGCGUUGUCCGGAAUCAUUGGGCGUAAAGCGCGCGUAGGCGGCCAGAUAAGUCCGGUGUGAAAGUCACAGGCUCAACCUGUGAAUGCCGCUGGAAACUGUCUGGCUUGAGUCCGGAAGGGGCGAGUGGAAUUCCUGGUGUAGCGGUGAAAUGCGCAGAUAUCAGGAGGAACACCAAUGGCGAAGGCAGCUCGCUGGAACGGUACUGACGCUGAGGCGCGAAAGCGUGGGGAGCGAACAGG